AAAUUUACAUGUUGUUUGUAUACUUUGGUGCUUAAAUCAUGUAUACAUGACCUUCAGAAGUAAGACAUGUCCUUAUGUUUAUUUGGAUGUGAUGUUGUUGCUCAUUUUGAUUUUAUAACUUUUCAUUUUCUUGUAUCCUUCUUCCAUGACUUGAUAUGGAUUACUCUAUUCAUAUUUCAUCUAUUCUUCCAUGACUUAAUAUGUUUUGUUUAGUUUAUAUCUUUUUG
rnacentral:lncRNA from 1 species